ACCCAAGCUUUCAGGUGUUUGUGCCUUUGUUUUGUUUAAAAGAGGUAGGACUGCAGUCUUGGCAUCUGUAAGAGACUAGGUGAAAGGGCCAGAAAGAUCCCGGUGGGGAUUUCUGCUGUGAUUUUAUGGGAUAUCCCCUCAACUGUUGGUCACCAACAACUGUCUUCCUCCCUGGUCCCCGCUUGGGAUUCUGAGGUAAUCAUAUUUCAGCAAGUGACAAGAAACAGAGCAUUUCGGGGGGCAUCAAGCGCCAUCACAGUGGGAUAACCCCUGCCAUCCCCCAAGAAACCAGCGGGCAGGGCUCUGCGAACGAGUGUCCCUUGACUCUUCCGCUGGCUGUGACCUGUAAGAGCCUGCAGACAGCAACUUCUCUACUCUCGAGAGCUCCGCCAGGAAGCCACACCUCAGCCCUUCCAGACAUCCCUCCGGGCUGCCGGGAAGGGGAAGGAUUCAGUCACUGUCAAGCCUGUCCCUGGCUUUGAUGUCGAAAGAUUUCCGCUCAGAUGCCCCCCAGCUACACCAAGAACAGAAGCAGUCUAACCUCCCCGAGCCUCGGUUUCCCCACCUGCUGAACAGGUAACGAUACAUCCCUCGGAUCCUACAAGUGGGACUUUAGAAGUGGCACAACUCCAGGGAGCACCGC